rnacentral:lncRNA from 1 species
GCAGCCACUACUGCAAAUGGCUUCCAACAAAACCUGUGCUGUCCUUACAGUUUUCUCUCUUCUUCUUUUCAACUUAUCAUUCACCAAUGCUUGCCAUUCAUGCAAGCCACCAAAGCCCAUUCCACCACCUGCUGCAUGCCCUCCACCACCAGCAAAGCCUGCUUCUUGCCCUAAGGACACAUUGAAGCUAGGUGUUUGUGCUGACCUACUUGGACUGGUAAACUUAGUGGUGGGAACACCUCCUUCGAGCAAAUGCUGUGCUUUGCUCCAAGGCUUGGCUGAUUUAGAAGCUGCCCUUU